rnacentral:rRNA from 1 species
GCUCAGGAUGAACGCUGGCGGCGUGCUUAACACAUGCAAGUCGAACGGGCUCUUCGGAGCUAGUGGCGGACGGGUGAGUAACGCGUGAGAAUCUGCCUACAGGACGGGGACAACAGUUGGAAACGACUGCUAAUACCCGAUGUGCCGAGAGGUGAAACAUUUAUGGCCUGUAGAUGAGCUCGCGUCUGAUUAGCUAGUUGGUGGGGUAAGGGCCUACCAAGGCGACGAUCAGUAGCUGGUCUGAGAGGAUGAUCAGCCACACUGGGACUGAGACACGGCCCAGACUCCUACGGGAGGCAGCAGUGGGGAAUUUUCCGCAAUGGGCGCAAGCCUGACGGAGCAACGCCGCGUGGGGGAGGAAGGUUUUUGGACUGUAAACCCCUUUUCUCAGGGAAGAAGAAAGUGACGGUACCUGAGGAAUAAGCCUCGGCUAAUUCCGUGCCAGCAGCCGCGGUAAUACGGGAGAGGCAAGCGUUAUCCGGAAUUAUUGGGCGUAAAGCGUCCGCAGGCGGUUAAUCAAGUCUGUUGUCAAAGCGUGGGGCUCAACCUCAUACAGGCAAUGGAAACUGAUUGACUAGAGUAUGGUAGGGGUAGCGGGAAUUCCAGGUGUAGCGGUGAAAUGCGUAGAUAUCUGGAAGAACACCAGCGGCGAAAGCGCGCUACUGGGCCAUAACUGACGCUCAUGGACGAAAGCUAGGGGAGCGAAAGGGAUUAGAUACCCCUGUAGUCCUAGCCGUAAACGAUGAACACUAGGUGUUGCGUGAAUCGACCCGCGCAGUGCCGUAGCCAACGCGUUAAGUGUUCCGCCUGGGGAGUACGCACGCAAGUGUGAAACUCAAAGGAAUUGACGGGGGCCCGCACAAGCGGUGGAGUAUGUGGUUUAAUUCGAUGCAACGCGAAGAACCUUACCAGGGUUUGACAUCCCCCGAAUCUCUUGGAAACGAGAGAGUGCCUUCGGGAGCGGGGAGACAGGUGGUGCAUGGCUGUCGUCAGCUCGUGUCGUGAGAUGUUGGGUUAAGUCCCGCAACGAGCGCAACCCACGUUUUUAGUUGCCAUCAUUCAGUUGGGCACUCUAGAGAAACUGCCGGUGACAAACCGGAGGAAGGUGUGGACGACGUCAAGUCAUCAUGCCCCUUACAUCCUGGGCUACACACGUACUACAAUGCUCCGGACAGCGAGACGCGAAGCCGCGAGGUGAAGCAAAUCUCCCAAACCGGGGCUCAGUUCAGAUUGCAGGCUGCAACUCGCCUGCAUGAAGGCGGAAUCGCUAGUAAUCGCAGGUCAGCAUACUGCGGUGAAUACGUUCCCGGGCCUUGUACACACCGCCCGUCACACCAUGGAAAGUUGGCCAUGCCCGAAGUCGUUACCCUAACCGUUCGCGGAGGGGGGCGCCGAAAUGUANGGCUGAUGACUGGG